rnacentral:rRNA from 1 species
CCCUUAGAUGUUCUGGGCCGCACGCGCGCUACACUGACAGAGCCAACGAGUUCUUCACCUUGGCCGGAAGGUCUGGGUAAUCUUGUUAAACUCUGUCGUGCUGGGGAUAGAGCAUUGCAAUUAUUGCUCUUCAACGAGGAAUGCCUAGUAAGCGCGUGUCAUCAGCACGCGUUGAUUACGUCCCUGCCCUUUGUACACACCGCCCGUCGCUACUACCGAUUGAAUGGCUCAGUGAGGCCUUCGGACUGGCUCAGGGAGGUUGGCAACGACCACCCCGAGCCGGAAAGUUUGUCAAACUCGGUCAUUUAGAGGAAGUAAAAGUCGUAACA